rnacentral:lncRNA from 1 species
AGUGAGGCAUGCAGUCCUUAGUCCCAGUGGGAAGGGCCGCACACUCUGCGUGGCCACAGUACGUUUUAUGUCACAGGAUGGUUGCUGGGUAAUUUCAUUGUCUUCGCAGUAAAUACUUUACAUUAUGCAAUCAGGCUGCCUGCUUUGCUCUCUAUUCCUGUCAACAAAAAGGAUUGAUCCAUAGAUUUAGCUUCUCUUGCCUUUCACCUUUUAUUUUAAUGCCUCUUUCUGUUUAUUCCUUUCAGGCGCCUCCUUGGCAUUAUAACAAAAAAAGAUAUCCUCCGUCAUAUGGCCCAGACGGCAAACCAAGACCCCGCUUCAAUAAUGUUCAACUGAGUCCUGUAGAUGAGGAGAGAGAGGAGACAGAAGAGGAAGUUCGUUUGUUGAAUAGCACAAUUCUUUAAUCUGCGGGACUCGUCCACUUUUUUCUUCUUUAAAAAAAAAAAAAAGGAAAGGAAAUACAAGAUGAGCUUUUGCAACCCAGAUUGCAAAUAAUGCUGGGAGAACAGAGGGAUUGUUUGGGGAGGGAGACAGAAAAAGAGUGAGGUAUUUCCCUAACUAAUGGCAACAGUAAUCCAUCUCACGUUGUUCUGCACUGUCGCAUUCACUGAGGCUAUGCAGUGAGAGUGCAGGCUUGAGCCUCCCUGGAGCCUUCAUUGGA